CAAGCGUUGUCCGGAUUUAUUGGGCGUAAAGAGCGUGUAGGCGGCUUUUUAGGUCAGCUGUGAAAACUCGAGGCUCAACCUCGAGACGUCGGUUGAAACCACCUGGCUAGAGUCCGGAAGAGGAGAGUGGAAUUCCCGGCGUAGCGGUGAAAUGCGCAGAUAUCAGGAAGAACACCCGUGGCGAAGGCGGUUCUCUGGGACGGUACUGACGCUGAGACGCGAAAGCGUGGGGAGCGAACAGG
rnacentral:rRNA from 1 species